AAUCAUUCAAGCUCUGCUUGGUGUUGGGUGUUUGUUCCGCCUCAGCGCGUGGACUCGCCUUAAAUUCAUUGGCAGCCGGUAUGUUGGCUUCGUGCGCAGCACAUUGCGUCGCGAUUCUGGCAGGCCUCCUCCCAUUAAGCAUAUCAAUAAGCGGAGGCU
rnacentral:misc_RNA from 1 species